rnacentral:rRNA from 1 species
UACGUAGGGGGCAAGCGUUGUCCGGAAUCAUUGGGCGUAAGGCGCGCGUAGGCGGCCCGGUAAGUCCGUUGUGAAAGUCAAAGGCUCAACCUUUGAACGCCGAUGGAUACUGCCGGGCUAGAGUCCGGAAGAGGCGAGUGGAAUUCCUGGUGUAGCGGUGGAAUGCGCAGAUAUCAGGAGGAACACCGGUGGCGAAGGCGGGUCUCUGGGCCGUAACUGACGCUGAGGAGCGAAAGCAUGGGGAGCGAACAGG